GAUGAACGCUGGCGGCGUGCCUAACACAUGCAAGUCGAGCGGCAGCGCGGUGUGCUUGCACCCUGUCGGCGAGCGGCGAACGGCUGAGUAACGCGUAGGAAUUUGCCUCAAAGUGAGGAAUAACUGACCGAAAGGGUAGCAAAUGCCGCAUGUAGUCUUCGGAUUAAAGGAUUUAUCCGGUUUUGGAGACGGCUGCGUUGGAUUAGGUUGUGGGUAGGGUAAUUGCCUAGCAAGGCGACGACCCAUAGCUGGGCUGAGAGGCUGAUCAGCCAGACUUGAACUGAGACACGGUCCAGACUCUUACGCGAGGGAGGAGUGAGGAAUCCUCCACAAUGGGCGAAGGCAUGAUGGCGCAACGCUGCGUGAAGGAUGAAGGCCGUCGGGUUGUAAACUUCUUUUAUGCGUGGAGAAUAUGACGGUAACUCAUGAAUAAGCACCGGCUAACUACGUG
rnacentral:rRNA from 1 species